AUUGAUCGCUGGCGGCAUGCCUUACACAUGCAAGUCGAACGGCAGCACGGGAGCAAUCCUGGUGGCGAGUGGCGAACGGGUGAGUAAUAUAUCGGAACGUGCCCGGUCGUGGGGGAUAACGUAGCGAAAGCUACGCUAAUACCGCAUACGAUCUACGGAUGAAAGCGGGGGAUCGCAAGACCUCGCGCGAUUGGAGCGGCCGAUAUCAGAUUAGGUAGUUGGUGAGGUAAAGGCUCACCAAGCCGACGAUCUGUAGCUGGUCUGAGAGGACGACCAGCCACACUGGGACUGAGACACGGCCCAGACUCCUACGGGAGGCAGCAGUGGGGAAUUUUGGACAAUGGGCGGCAAGCCUGAUCCAGCAAUGCCGCGUGCAGGAUGAAGGCCUC
rnacentral:rRNA from 1 species